rnacentral:miRNA from 1 species
CCUCCAGCUGUUCUGGGACUACAACUCCCAUCACCCCUAGCUAACAGGACAAGUGGUCAGGGAUGAUGGGAAUUGUAGUCCUAGAACAGCUGGAGG